ACUCAGUGAAAUUGAACUCGCUGUGAAGAUGCAGUGUACCCGCGGCAAGACGGAAAGACCCCGUGAACCUUUACUAUAGCUUGACACUGAACAUUGAGCCUUGAUGUGUAGGAUAGGUGGGAGGCUUUGAAGUGUGGACGCCAGUCUGCAUGGAGCCGACCUUGAAAUACCACCCUUUAAUGUUUGAUGUUCUAACGUGGACCCGUGAUCCGGGUUGCGGACAGUGUCUGGUGGGUAGUUUGACUGGGGCGGUCUCCUCCUAAAGAGUAACGGAGGAGCACGAAGGUUGGCUAAUCCUGGUCGGACAUCAGGAGGUUAGUGCAAUGGCAUAAGCCAGCUUGACUGCGAGCGUGACGGCGCGAGCAGGUGCGAAAGCAGGUCAUAGUGAUCCGGUGGUUCUGAAUGGAAGGGCCAUCGCUCAACGGAUAAAAGGUACUCCGGGGAUAACAGGCUGAUACCGCCCAAGAGUUCAUAUCGACGGCGGUGUUUGGCACCUCGAUGUCGGCUCAUCACAUCCUGGGGCUGAAGUAGGUCCCAAGGGUAUGGCUGUUCGCCAUUUAAAGUGGUACGCGAGCUGGGUUUAGAACGUCGUGAGACAGUUCGGUCCCUAUCUGCCGUGGGCGCUGGAGAACUGAGGGGGGCUGCUCCUAGUACGAGAGGACCGGAGUGGACGCAUCACUGGUGUUCGGGUUGUCAUGCCAAUGGCACUGCCCGGUAGCUAAAUGCGGAAGAGAUAAGUGCUGAAAGCAUCUAAGCACGAAACUUGCCCCGA
rnacentral:rRNA from 1 species